GACGAACGCUGGCGGCGUGCUUAACACAUGCAAGUCGAACGGUAAGGCCCUUCGGGGUACGCGAGUGGCGAACGGGUGAGUAACACGUGGGUGAUCUGCCCUGCACUUCGGGAUAAGCCUGGGAAACUGGGUCUAAUACCAGAUAGGACCACUGCCUGCAUGGGUGGUGGUGGAAAGCUUUUGCGGUGUGGGAUGGGCCCGCGGCCUAUCAGCUUGUUGGUGGGGUGAUGGCCUACCAAGGCGACGACGGGUAGCCGGCCUGGGAGGGUGACCGGCCACACUGGGACUGAGAUACGGCCCAGACUCCUACGGGAGGCAGCAGUGGGGAAUAUUGCACAAUGGGCGCAAGCCUGAUGCAGCGACGCCGCGUGAGGGAUGACGGCCUUCGGGUUGUAAACCUCUUUCAGCACCGACGAAGCGCAAGUGACGGUAGGUGCAGAAGAAGGACCGGCCAACUACGUGCCAGCCGCCGCGGUAA
rnacentral:rRNA from 1 species